UUUGUCCAUGUUUCCCUGGCGGGCGAGUGGCCGCCGGACGCGCGGCUUCCUGCUCGGCGCGAUGCCGGCGCGUGUGCGUCGCUCCCCCGCCCGGCGAGUCGGCCGCCAGGCGCGCGGCCACAUGCUCCGCGCGACGCGGGCGCGUGGGCUCCCCGCCCCGCUCACGGCUCCCACGCCAUUAUGUUGCGACCUCCCCACUCCGUUGAUUCUUCUGCCUGGACCGACCCGCCCCGCUCCCAUCCCACAUUCAGGACCAAGAUAAAGGAUAAGCUUGGCAAAUUAAACAAGGAGAAGUUGCUAGACUUUCAUGAACUACUCGAUAUUUGUGUUUCAAAAUCAACAAGGAAGCAGAUGCAUGUGCCCCCAAAACAUGGAGUCUGCACAUUAUUUUUCAAAUAUUAGGUAAACUCUUUGCUUUCUAUUUUUUACAUAAAGUGCUAUAUGUUUAUUAUUAUUUUGAUUCACAUUGUCGAUGGUGACCGAGGACUUCACUUUAAGGGUGAUGGUCCUGCUAAUCAGGGUUUUUGAUGAAGUGUGCGUGCCACCCCUCAGGUGGACAAAAUGAAGGGUGGAUUCCUUGUGGAUGUUAAUGUAAGAUCAUCAGAACUUUGAUCGUAGAAUUUUUCUAUGUAAAUAAAACUAAGCAAUUUGAAUAUUUUUUAGGUGUUAUAUCAUGCAGAUAUGGUAUGAAGACACAUUAAUUCUUACUUAAACCAUGAGCACCUUUAUAUUGAAAUAACUAGUUUCUGGGUAAAAAUCUUAAUGUAUAUCUGUCUUAAAUUUUCUUUGGAAAUUGUGUUAUAAGAUCUGAUAUUUUCAUUUCUUUUAUGGCGGACAAAUUUAUCUAUGAGCUACUUUAUAUUCAAACAAGCUACUUCCUCACCCUUACUGCCCUCCUUGUUUAUAUGGUAAAUGAACUUAUCCAAGUGCUGCAGUAUAUUCAGAUCUAUUGACCAUUUUGAGAUUGGAUGCAUGGAAUUUUUUUUCCAGUUUAGUUAAUGACAUGCAUCAUGCGCUUUUGUUGUCAUGACUGGGUUCCUCCAUUGCCAAGAAAUUGUAUACUCCCGCCACUUUCUUUUCUGUGUGUUGUCUCAAAUCAUAGGCUACUUAUUUUGUUAACUGGAUGUGCCAGGAUAAAAAAAUUAAUGUUAACUUUGUUGUCAGCCCAAAAGUUUUAUAUGUAAUUUUUUUUGUUUAUUGUGUUUCUACUGUUUUUGUUUGUACUGAAGUUGGGAGAGAAAUUAACUUUGUUGUCAGCCCAAAAGCUGUAUAUGUAACAUGUUUUUUUU